UAUACAUACAUACAUACAUACAUACAUACAUAUACAUAUGAGUGUGUGUGUGUGUGUGUGUGUGUGUGUGUGUGUGUG